UCUUGUGGGUAGACACAGGCCCUGCCCUGGUGGGGGCCUCCUUCCUAAUGGGGGGCACAGUCCCUACCUGAUGAGGGUGUGCCCAGUCAGUGGGGAGCCUGUCCCAGGUCAGGCACUUUUAACCCCUUCCUUCCACAGCACUGCCUGCUGGGCUGGGACAUUUUCCCUCCGAAGUCUGAGAAAAGCUCAGCCCCCAGGAACCUGGACCUCUGGUCCUCUGUCUCCGCUGAGGCCCAGCACCAGAAGCUGUCAGGCACCAGCAGCCCUUUUCACCUGGCCUCGCCAGUGCAGUUGCCGCCCCUGACCCCGACCUGGUCAGUGCCCCAGGUCCCUCGGCCCCACGUCCCAUGGCAGAAGCCCUGAGGACUGACUCCUGGAGGAGAACAGCAUUCCCGCUGCCUCCAGCCUCUCCCCUCUGGCCGGCGCACCCAGGAGAUGGAAGCCUCUGCCCGCCCAGCUCAGGCCCGGCUGUCCUAGGUUGGGCAGGUGGGUGGACCCAGGCUUGUCUGCUGCCUGGGUUCCAGAGAGGGAGGACCCUGGGGUAGAGGGUGAGGGAUUCUGUGGAAGUUUGUAAAUAAAGCUCAGUGCUCUGCA
rnacentral:sRNA from 1 species